UACAGAGGGUGCGAGCGUUGUCCGGAAUCACUGGGUGUAAAGGGCUCGUAGGCGGCCAACUAAGUCAGACGUGAAAUCCCUCGGCUUAACCGGGGAACUGCGUCUGAUACUGGAUGGCUUGAGUUUGGGAGAGGGAUGCGGAAUUCCAGGUGUAGCGGUGAAAUGCGUAGAUAUCUGGAGGAACACCGGUGGCGAAGGCGGCAUCCUGGACCAACACUGACACUGAGGAGCGAAAGCCAGGGGAGCAAACGGG
rnacentral:rRNA from 1 species